CACUUUGCUAACUCGUAAGAGGAUGUAUAAGGUGUGACGCCUGCCCGGUGCUUGAAGGUUAAUUGAUGUGGUUAGCUUCGGCGAAGCUAUUGA
rnacentral:rRNA from 1 species